rnacentral:rRNA from 1 species
GCAAGUCGAGGGGUAACAGGGAUUGCUUGCAAUCCGCUGACGACCGGCGAACGGGUGCGUAACGCGUAUGCAACCUACCUUUUACUGGGGGAUAGUCAAGAGAAAUUUUGAAUAAUACCCCAUACGAUCAUUUAUUUGCAUAAAUAAAUGAAGAAAACUCCGGUGGUAGAAGAUGGGCAUGCGUCCUAUUAGUUUGUUGGUGAGGUAACGGCUCACCAAGACUACGAUAGGUAGGGGUCCUGAGAGGGAGACCCCCACACUGGUACUGAGACACGGACCAGACUCCUACGGGAGGCAGCAGUGAGGAAUAUUGGACAAUGGAGGCAACUCUGAUCCAGCCAUGCCGCGUGCAGGAAGACGGCCCUAUGGGUUGUAAACUGCUUUUAUACAGGAAGAAACGUCAGUACGUGUACUGACCUGACGGUACUGUAAGAAUAAGGAUCGGCUAACUCCGUGCCAGCAGCCGCGGUAAUACGGAGGAUCCAAGCGUUAUCCGGAAUUAUUGGGUUUAAAGGGUCCGCAGGCGGUCUGAUAAGUCAGAGGUGAAAUACUAUCGCUCAACGAUAGAACUGCCUUUGAUACUGUUAGACUUGAGUUAUUGUGAAGUAGUUAGAAUGUGUAGUGUAGCGGUGAAAUGCAUAGAUAUUACACAGAAUACCGAUUGCGAAGGCAGAUUACUAACAAUACACUGACGCUCAUGGACGAAAGCGUGGGUAGCGAACAGGAUUAGAUACUCUGGUAGUCCACGCCGUAAACGAUGGUCACUAGCUGUUUGACUAAC